GCCUCUUGGACACUGGAUGAUCCACCAAGAACUGUGACUAUGACAUUGCAUCAAGGAUCCUCUAUGACGAGCAUAGAUUUCCAUCCUUCUCAUCAUACCUUACUUAUUGUUAUUGUUUAUCAUGGUUUUUUCAUGUCUAAUAUCUUGGUUACCAAAAUACCAACAAAGCAUAACUUGAUUUUUUUCUUCUAACGAUAUAUAUUUCCAAUGAAUAGCUGGUUCAAAUAAUGGAGAAACUAGCCUCUGGGAACUCAGUUUGCGAGAAAAGUUGGUUUCAAAGCCAUUCAAGAUAUGGGAUGUGUCUGCAUGCUCAUUACCAUUUCAGGCUGCUGCAUGAGCCCUGAUGGAAGUUUUGUGGGACCUGAAGGUUGAUCCAAAGGAUGAGUUCCUGUCAUUACUAAGAGCAACAGUGAAGUGCUUGACCCGUCCGGAGAAGUACUUUGAGAAGGUUAUCGGUUUAGAGAUUAAUUAUUAUCAAGAUGUGGGUGUUGUAGGUUUACAUUGAAGAAAAAAGAUUGUGAUGAUGCACUAUUUAUAAAUUUUAUUUUUUUUGUUA